GCACUGCGGUGCUGAAGCAACAAAUGCCCUGCUUCCAGGAAAAGCCUCUAAGCAUCAGGUAACAUCAAAUCGUACCCCAAACCGACACAGGUGGUCAGGUAGAGAAUACCAAGGCGCUUGAGAGAACUCGGGUGAAGGAACUAGGCAAAAUGGUGCCGUAACUUCGGGAGAAGGCACGCUGAUAUGUAGGUGAAGUCCCUCGCGGAUGGAGCUGAAAUCAGUCGAAGAUACCAGCUGGCUGCAACUGUUUAUUAAAAACACAGCACUGUGCAAACACGAAAGUGGACGUAUACGGUGUGACGCCUGCCCGGUGCCGGAAGGUUAAUUGAUGGGGUUAGCGCAAGCGAAGCUCUUGAUCGAAGCCCCGGUAAACGGCGGCCGUAACUAUAACGGUCCUAAGGUAGCGAAAUUCCUUGUCGGGUAAGUUCCGACCUGCACGAAUGGCGUAAUGAUGGCCAGGCUGUCUCCACCCGAGACUCAGUGAAAUUGAACUCGCUGUGAAGAUGCAGUGUACCCGCGGCAAGACGGAAAGACCCCGUGAACCUUUACUAUAGCUUGACACUGAACAUUGAGCCUUGAUGUGUAGGAUAGGUGGGAGGCUUUGAAGUGUGGACGCCAGUCUGCAUGGAGCCGACCUUGAAAUACCACCCUUUAAUGUUUGAUGUUCUAACGUUGACCCGUAAUCCGGGUUGCGGACAGUGUCUGGUGGGUAGUUUGACUGGGGCGGUCUCCUCCUAAAGAGUAACGGAGGAGCACGAAGGUUGGCUAAUCCUGGUCGGACAUCAGGAGGUUAGUGCAAUGGCAUAAGCCAGCUUGACUGCGAGCGUGACGGCGCGAGCAGGUGCGAAAGCAGGUCAUAGUGAUCCGGUGGUUCUGAAUGGAAGGGCCAUCGCUCAACGGAUAAAAGGUACUCCGGGGAUAACAGGCUGAUACCGCCCAAGAGUUCAUAUCGACGGCGGUGUUUGGCACCUCGAUGUCGGCUCAUCACAUCCUGGGGCUGAAGUAGGUCCCAAGGGUAUGGCUGUUCGCCAUUUAAAGUGGUACGCGAGCUGGGUUUAGAACGUCGUGAGACAGUUCGGUCCCUAUCUGCCGUGGGCGCUGGAGAACUGAGGGGGGCUGCUCCUAGUACGAGAGGACCGGAGUGGACGCAUCACUGGUGUUCGGGUUGUCAUGCCAAUGGCACUGCCCGGUAGCUAAAUGCGGAAGAGAUAAGUGCUGAAAGCAUCUAAGCACGAAACUUGCCCCGAGAUGAGUUCUCCCUGACUCCUUGAGAGUCCUGAAGGAACGUUGAAGACGACGACGUUGAUAGGCCGGGUGUGUAAGCGCAGCGAUGCGUUGAGCUAACCGGUACUAAUGAACCGUGAGG
rnacentral:rRNA from 1 species